GGUCCAUUAGCUCAGCUGGUAGAGCACCUGACUCUUAAUCAGGGUGUCGUAGGUUCGAACCCUACAUGGAUCACCA
rnacentral:tRNA from 1 species